GAACGCACAUUGCGCCCGCCAGUAUUCUGGCGGGCAUGCCUGUUCGAGCGUCAUUACAACCCUCAGGCCCCCGGGCCUGGCGUUGGGGAUCGGCGGAGCCCCCCGUGGGCACACGCCGUCCCCCAAAUACAGUGGCGGUCCCGCCGCAGCUUCCAUUGCGUAGUAGCUAACACCUCGCAACUGGAGAGCGGCGCGGCCACGCCGUAAAACACCCAACUUCUGAAUGUUGACCUCGAAUCAGGUAGGAAUACCCGCUGAACUUAAG
rnacentral:misc_RNA from 1 species